UCUAGAACUCGAGAUAUGGGCUGAACACUGAACAGUGUCUGGGUUGCAGGACAUAUUCGGGCUUCUUCAUUGUUGCUACAAUUUGGACUCGAAAACGGCCUUAUUAAAUCUUUGGCUCCGCAUGAAAGUUGU
rnacentral:pre_miRNA from 1 species